rnacentral:rRNA from 1 species
AGUCGAACGGAGUUUACAGGCAGAAGUUUUCGGAUGGAAGCUUGUAAACUUAGUGGCGGACGGGUGAGUAACACGUGAGCAACCUGCCUAUCAGAGGGGGAUAACGAUUGGAAACGAUCGCUAAUACCGCAUGACAUAGCGGAACCGCAUGGUUCUGUUAUCAAAGAUUUAUCGCUGAUAGAUGGGCUCGCGUCCGAUUAGAUAGUUGGUGGGGUAACGGCCUACCAAGUCGACGAUCGGUAGCCGGACUGAGAGGUCGAACGGCCACAUUGGGACUGAGACACGGCCCAGACUCCUACGGGAGGCAGCAGUGGGGGAUAUUGCACAAUGGGGGAAACCCUGAUGCAGCGACGCCGCGUGAGGGAAGACGGUCCUCUGGAUUGUAAACCUCUGUCUUCGGGGACGAAACGAGACGGUACCCGAGGAGGAAGCCACGGCUAACUACGUGCCAGCAGCCGCGGUAAUACGUAGGUGGCAAGCGUUGUCCGGAAUUACUGGGUGUAAAGGGAGCGUAGGCGGGCAGGCAAGUCAGGCGUGAAAUAUAUCGGCUCAACCGGUAACGGCGCUUGAAACUGCAGGUCUUGAGUGAAGUAGAGGUUGGCGGAAUUCCUAGUGUAGCGGUGAAAUGCGUAGAUAUUAGGAGGAACACCAGUGGCGAAGGCGGCCAACUGGGCUUUUACUGACGCUGAGGCUCGAAAGUGUGGGGAGCAAACAGGAUUAGAUACCCUGGUAGUCCACACCGUAAACGAUGAUUACUAGGUGUGGGGGGACUGACCCCUUCCGUGCCGGAGUUAACACAAUAAGUA